rnacentral:rRNA from 1 species
GUGGGGAAUAUUGGGCAAUGGGGGCAACCCUGACCCAGCGACGCCGCGUGGGUGAAGAAAUCCCUCGGGAUGUAAAGCCCUGUUGUAUGGGAAGAGCAGAAGACGGUACCAUACGAGGAAGCCCCGGAAAACUACGUGCCAGCAGCCGCGGUAAUACGUAGGGGGCAAGCGUUGUCCGGAAUUACUGGGCGUAAAGCGCACGCAGGCUGAAUUAUAAGUCGGUAGUCAAAUACGGAGGCUCAACUUCCGGAUAUCUAUCGAUACUGUAAAUCUAGAGUAUGUGAGAGGGAAGCGGAAUUCCCGGUGUAGCGGUGAAAUGCGUAUAUAUCGGGAGGAACACCAGUGGCGAAGGCGGCUUCCUGGCACAAUACUGACGCUCAUGUGCGAAAGCUAGGGCAGCGAACGGGAUUAGAAACCCGUGUAGUCC